rfam:Mosquito flavivirus gene for polyprotein, complete cds, strain: YDFV/Oct/2013
CGCAAGGGAGGGGAUUCCCCUCGGGUGUGGACGACACCCCGGCCCCAGUCCCCAAGGUCAUGGGAAAAACUGACCCCGAAGUGCUGCAAGGGCACUAA